rnacentral:rRNA from 1 species
GUACAUCCAGAGAACUUAGCAGAGAUGCUUUGGUGCCUUCGGGAACUCUGAGACAGGUGCUGCAUGGCUGUCGUCAGCUCGUGUUGUGAAAUGUUGGGUUAAGUCCCGCAACGAGCGCAACCCCUAUCCUUUGUUGCCAGCGAUUCGGUCGGGAACUCAAAGGAGACUGCCGGUGAUAAACCGGAGGAAGGUGGGGAUGACGUCAAGUCAUCAUGGCCCCUACGAGUAGGGCUACACACGUGCUACAAUGGCGCAUACAAAGAGAAGCGACCUCGCGAGAGCAAGCGGACCUCAUAAAGUGCGUCGUAGUCCGGAUUGGAGUCUGCAACUCGACUCCAUGAAGUCGGAAUCGCUAGUAAUCGUAGAUCAGAAUGCUACGGUGAAUACGUUCCCGGGCCUUGUACACACCGCCCGUCACACCAUGGGAGGUGGGUUGCAAAAGAAGUAGAUAGCUUAACCUUCGGGAGGGCGUUUACCACUUUGUGAUUCGUGACUGGGGUGAAGUCGUAACAAGGUAGGCGUAGCGAG